UUGUCGUCUCUUUGUUAUUUUGGGAGAAAGAGCAACUCAAUGUAAAAAGAGUGUAGACACUCUUAUCCUGUUGUGAAGAUAGUCAUGUGUCCUAAUCCUAAUGUAAUAUAGAGCUUCAGUAACGGCCACACAUGGCCUCCAUCCCCUUCAAACCAACAACUCAGUUCCAACUCCAACUCUAUUCUUCAACGAUUUUACUAAACCCCUUCAAGUUUCAUACUAGUCUACCAAGAAUUUCAUCUUCCGUUCAUGUCACUCACGUGGAGACACAGACAACAGAGCAAGAAAUUUCACACACCAGAAGAGAUGGUAAAACUAAUAGUAACGAAAAUGGUUCUGGGUUUUCAUCCUUUACUCCCAAAUAUAAGAAAUCUUAUUCUGGUCAGGAAAAUGGUGCCAACAGAGUUGUUCUAAAAGAUAGAAAUGCAAAAUUGAAACCUAAAAGAAGGAGCUCUACUACUACUACUUCUAAUAAUAAGGCGGUGGAGUCAAAGAAGAGUAAAAUUGAUUCUACAUUGAGGAUUGGAUUAGAUAUGUGCUCAAAAAGAGGGGAUGUACUUAGUGCAAUUAAGCUAUAUGAUUUGGCACUGCUACAAGGAAUAGUAAUGGGACAGUAUCAUUAUGCUGUACUUCUCUAUCUUUGUGCUUCUGCAGCUACUGGUCUCAUUCACCCAGCAAAAAGUGGAAGUGUUAAUAGGACUUUGAAUGCUCCCAAUGAACAGGAGUUUAGCCUUAAUGACAAAGUAAUUGAGCAUGAUUCACAUUUGUUGAGCUCUUCCACUGUAGAUGAAUUUGUUCAAUUUAUGAAGAGCAGUGCAAAAAGUGUGAGACAUGAUGACAAUGGAAUUAAAGUGAGUGAAGAUGUAAGACAUUAUGCACUUACAAGGGGUUUUGAAAUAUAUGAGAAAAUGCUCUCAGACAAGGUACAAAUUAAUGAAGCAACCCUUACAUCUGUUGCAAGAAUGGCAAUGGCAUUAGGGAAUGGUGAUAUGGCAUUUGAUGUUGUAAAGAAAAUGAAAGAAGAUGGAAUAAACCCCAAACUACGAUCGUAUGCUCCUGCAUUAUCUGUUUUCUGCAAUAACGGGGAUGUCGACAAGGCAUUUAUAGUUGAACAACACAUGUUAGAGAAUGGUAUCUACCCGGAGGAACUUGAGCUGGAGGCACUUCUAAAAGUAAGUAUAGAAGCUGAAAGGAGUGAAAAAGUGUACUAUUUGUUACAUAAGCUUAGAGAAGGAGUUCGACAAGUCUCACCUUCUACUGCAGAUUUGAUUGACAAGUGGUUCAACAGCAAGGUAGCUUCAAGGGUGGGAAAAAGAAAAUGGGAUGUAAGAUCCAUACACAAAGCUAUUAAAAAUGGAGGUGGUGGCUGGCAUGGACAAGGCUGGUUGGGUAAUGGAAAGUGGACUGUAUCACAUGGAAUCGUUGGCUCUGAUGGCUGCUGCAAAUGCUGUGCCGAGAAGCUCGUGACCAUUGAUCUUGAUCCAGAAGAAACUGAAAAGUUUGCUAAGUCAGUUGCUUCUAUAGCUGCGCAGAGAGAGAGAAAUUCGAGCUUCCAGAAAUUUCAAAGAUGGCUUGAUUACUAUGGACCAUUUGAAGCUGUUAUUGAUGGUGCAAAUGUUGGUCUUUACAGCCAAAGAAAGUUUAGGCCAUCUAAGGUCAAUGCUGUCGUCAAUGGAAUUCGUCAGAUGCUUCCUUCAAAAAAGUGGCCGCUAAUAGUUCUGCACAAUAGACGUAUUACUGGAGAUAAGAUGGAUGAACCAUUCAAUCGAUCGUUAGUAGAGAAGUGGAAAAAUGCGGAUGCGAUCUAUGCAACACCUACUGGGUCAAAUGAUGAUUGGUACUGGUUGUAUGCAGCUAUAAAAUUUCGGUGCUUGCUUGUGACCAAUGAUGAGAUGAGGGACCAUUUAUUUCAACUUCUGGGAAAUGACUUUUUCCCAAAAUGGAAGGAAAGGCAUCAGGUGCGUUUCAGUUUCUCUGAAACAGGUCCAGUAUUUCACAUGCCGCCUCCAUGUUCUAUUGUAAUUCAGGAGUCGGAAGAAGGAAACUGGCAUGUACCAAUUGCCUCAGAACUUGAAUCAGAAGAGGAAAGGACGUGGCUGUGCAUUAGGCGUGCCAAUUCACCUAUGGCACAUCAAGAUUCUUCCAGAGUAAACAUAUCCAAAAAUGUUGGUGGUCCCACUCACAAAUGCCCUCCUACGUCAUCAGACUCUCCUCACAACAAGGGAGAUGCAAAGUCAAGCACAAGAAGGAAAAAUCAAGUUAAGGUGACAGGAAAAACGCGCGGCAGCCACUGUCGGGGUAAGGAUGCACCUGAAGAGAUGUAUAGAAGUCUUAAAAACAUAUUACAACCGUCAAUAACCUCAGAUCAUUGUUCCAUUCUUCCAGAACUGAAGGCCGCAGAGGAGUUAGGGAGAUGCGUAGUCGAUUUCCAAAUAUAAACUCUUCAGUGUGGACUUUGGACCUUUUUGACACAAAAGAUGGUGCAAGCAGCCUCUAUUCCAGUAGGUGCAACAAAUAAUUGGAAUCAACAUAAACUGAUUUUGGACUCGACCUGUAAUGGAAGCCACUUCUUUAAAGAGGUAGCAUUUGGGCUGGCCCUUGGAUAAGAAUUGAAUUAGUUGAAACAAAAAUACGAAAUAAUGUCGUUGCAAGUUUUUACAACUCUAUUCACAUGCGAGUAGUGGUUUAGGAUUAGGAAUGAGAAUAUCAGGGAUGAAGUCGGAGUAGCCUCCCGAGGUCUUUGAAAAACAACCUCUUUACCUUGCAAAGGUAGUGAUAAAGUCUGUGUAAACUCCAUUCUCUUCGAACUCCAUUUCAGUGGGCUCCUAUUGUACAUUACCUAUUUGUCAUUACGGACGUAUUAAUUUUUA